rnacentral:rRNA from 1 species
GGCGGACGGGUUUAGUAACGCGUGGGAACGUACCCAGAUCUAAGGAAUAGCCACUGGAAACGGUGAGUAAUACCUUAUACGCCCUUCGGGGGAAAGAUUUAUCGGAUUUGGAUCGGCCCGCGUUAGAUUAGGUAGUUGGUGGGGUAAUGGCCUACCAAGCCUACGAUCUAUAGCUGGUUUUAGAGGAUGAUCAGCAACACUGGGACUGAGACACGGCCCAGACUCCUACGGGAGGCAGCAGUGGGGAAUCUUAGACAAUGGGCGCAAGCCUGAUCUAGCCAUGCCGCGUGAGUGAUGAAGGCCUUAGGGUCGUAAAGCUCUUUCGCCUGUGAUGAUAAUGACAGUAGCAGGUAAAGAAACCCCGGCUAACUCCGUGCUAGCAGCCGCGGUAAUACGGAGGGGGUUAGCGUUGUUCGGAAUUACUGGGCGUAAAGCGCAC